CGAAGGUGGCAAGCGUUGUUCGGAUUUACUGGGCGUACAGGGAGCGUAGGCGGUUGGAUAAGCCCUCCGUGAAAUCUCCAGGCUUAACCUGGAAAGUGCAGAGGGGACUGUUCAGCUAGAGGAUGGGAGAGGAGCGCGGAAUUCCCGGUGUAGCGGUGAAAUGCGUAGAGAUCGGGAGGAAGGCCGGUGGCGAAGGCGGCGCUCUGGAACAUUUCUGACGCUGAGGCUCGAAAGCGUGGGGAGCAAACAGUAUUAGAUACCCUGGUAGUCCACGCCUUAAACGAUGGAUACUAAGUGUCGGCGGGUUACCGCCGGUGCCGCAGCUAACGCAGUAAGUAUCCCGCCUGGGAAGUACGGCCGCAAGGUUG
rnacentral:rRNA from 1 species